GAUGAACGCUGGCGGCGUGCUUAACACAUGCAAGUCGAACGGAGAAAAGAAGCUUGCUUCUUUUCUUAGUGGCGGACGGGUGAGUAACGCGUGGGUAACCUGCCCUAUGCAGGGGGAUAACGUUGGGAAACCAACGCUAAUACCGCAUAAUACAAAGAGCUUGCAUGAGCUUUUUGUCAAAGAUUUAUCGGCAUAGGAUGGACCCGCGUUGGAUUAGCUAGUUGGUGAGAUAACAGCCCACCAAGGCGACGAUCCAUAGCCGGCCUGAGAGGGUGAACGGCCACAUUGGGACUGAGACACGGCCCAAACUCCUACGGGAGGCAGCAGUGGGGAAUAUUGCACAAUGGGCGCAAGCCUGAUGCAGCGACGCCGCGUGAAGGAUGAAGGUUUUCGGAUCGUAAACUUCUAUCAGCAGGGAGGAACCAAAUGACGGUACCUGACUAAGAAGCCCCGGCUAACUACGUGCCAGCCGCCGCAGUAA
rnacentral:rRNA from 1 species